rnacentral:rRNA from 1 species
CCUACGGGGUGCUGCAGUGGGGAAUAUUGGACAAUGGGCGAAAGCCUGAUCCAGCCAUGCCGCGUGUGUGAAGAAGGCCUUCGGGUUGUAAAGCACUUUCAGUGGGGAAGAAAGCCUUGGGGCUAAUACCCUCGAGGAAGGACAUCACCCACAGAAGAAGCACCGGCUAACUCCGUGCCAGCAGCCGCGGUAAUACGGAGGGUGCGAGCGUUAAUCGGAAUUACUGGGCGUAAAGCGCGCGUAGGCGGUCUGAUAAGCCGGUUGUGAAAGCCCCGGGCUCAACCUGGGAACGGCAUCCGGAACUGUCAGGCUAGAGUGCAGGAGAGGAAGGUAGAAUUCCCGGUGUAGCGGUGAAAUGCGUAGAGAUCGGGAGGAAUACCAGUGGCGAAGGCGGCCUUCUGGACUGACACUGACGCUGAGGUGCGAAAGCGUGGGUAGUAAACAGGAUUAGAUACCCCAGUAGUC